rnacentral:rRNA from 1 species
CAGCAGCCACGGUAAAACGAAGGGUGCAAGCGUUACUCGGAAUUACUGGGCGUAAAGCGUGCGUAGGUGGUGGUUUAAGUCCGUUGUGAAAGCCCUGGGCUCAACCUGGGAAUUGCAGUGGAUACUGGGUCACUAGAGUGUGGUAAAGGAUAGUGGAAUUUCCGGUGUAGCAGUGAAAUGCGUAGAGAUCGGAAGGAACAUCUGUGGCGAAGGCGACUAUCUGGGCCAACACUGACACUGAGGCACGAAAGCGUGGGGAGCAAACAGGAUUAGAUACCCCCGUAGUCCCUGUCUCUUAUAC